rnacentral:rRNA from 1 species
UUAAAAAGCUCGUAGUUGAACCUUGGGCCUGGCUGGCCGGUCCGUCUCAUCGCGUGUACUGGUCCGGCUGGGCCUUUCCUUCUGGCUAGGCACAUGCCCUUCACUGGGUGUGUGUCCGAACCAGGACUUUUACUUUGAAAAAAUUAGAGUGUUCAAAGCAGGCAUAUGCUCGAAUACAUUAGCAUGGAAUAAUAGACUAGGACGUGUGGUUCUAUU